rnacentral:lncRNA from 1 species
GGGCGACGGCCUAGUCACAACCUGGUAGUCUCAGGCAGUCUCACAGACCCCCGCUCUACAGCUUCAGAGCCUUCGGGUACCUGGCCACACCAGAGCAGAGCCUGUCGUGUUUGUGUGGUAUACUUGGCACCAUCGAAAGGCCCUGAAUUGCGUUUGGGGUUGAAGGGAACACAACAAAAACCCCGAGCUCUUCUUCAAGACUCUGUUCAAGCUGAAAGAGAGAUGCCUGGCCUUUCAACUGUCUGUCCUGGGGGAGACCUUCACCAACGUGCCAGGUACACACACACACACGCCUUUCUACAAGUAAAACAUUUAGUGAGCUCUGGUUCGGCGAUGACACUCAUUUUCAAAGCAGCAGUGGAUGUUUGGGUUUAAAACUGUUUUAAAGUUCUACUCCGUUCAUGGCGGUGUGGUGCACCAGGUGGAGGAAUUAACAAACUGACAGAGAGAGGGACAGAGAUCACUGUUGUGCAGCCAAGGUGUUAUGUUGAGUGUUCUGGCUUUCGAUGUGAUUGGUCAUUUUAGUAGGUGUAGGGUUAAGGCUGUCUCAGACAUGCAUUUUGUUGCAUUAUGUUAUUUAGUUUACCCUCCAUUAAACUGAAGUCUUUGUGUAGGAAUCUAAUCCGUUAUAAACAGUUCACAUAGUGAGCAACUGAACAAAGCCGAAUAGUCUACUCAGGCAUUUUACUUAAUUAAAUGAAAGUAGAGCAAAUAAUGUCUCUCGCUCUCUCUCUCUUUUAUCUCUUUAUCUCUAUCUAUAUCUCUCUUGAUCUCGAUCUCUCUCUCUCUUUAUCUCUAUUUCUCUCUCUGUCUCUAUCUAUAUCUCUCUCUUGAUCUCGA